rnacentral:tRNA from 1 species
GAAAUGUAAUGAAUAGUAAAAGCUGCUAACUUAAUACUUUAAUGGUUAAAAUCCAUUAACAUUUCU